GGGCCUGUAGCUCAAUUGGUAGAGCGCCUCAUUUGCAAUGAGGAGGUAACCGGUUCGAAACCGGUCAGGUCCACAA
rnacentral:tRNA from 1 species